rnacentral:rRNA from 1 species
GGGCCGCACGCGCGCUACACUGACGGAGCCAGCAAGCUACCUUUGCCGAGAGGCCUGGGGAAUCUCGUGAAACUCCGUCGUGCUGGGGAUAGAGCAUUGUAAUUUUUGCUCUUCAACGAGGAAUUCCUAGUAAGCGCAAGUCAUUACUUGCGUUGAUUACGUCCC